CCGAGACUGAAAUGACAAAAAUACAUUCAGCAAAUUACUGCUCGCAGUGAGUGACGCAAACUACAGAUACAUACAUUCAAUCAUACCAUUUCGCAUAGUGGCAGUUGAGCAAGCAGUCUAAUUUACAGAAAUGUUUUGUUUCCUUAUUCUUCCUGUCAUACUCGUCUUUCUUCGAAGCUUUAAAUGACCUGCAUAACCACCAUGCGGUACUGCUUGGCGUUAUUUUGAUGACAAGUAGUUUCCCUGACAUCUCGUAUGCACCAAUAAAAGGUAUGCACAGUUCCUUCCAACUAUUUUUUGCACUGCUGUAUUGAAGGAGUGUUUGUUGAGACUGGAAGAAAUAUAUGCAAUAGAUGCAUUGCACAAAAACAUAUGUACAGCUUAUGUGAUGCUUCCUUACUGUUUGAGGGCCAAUUAUUUUCUUGAACGAGACUCAUCAGGGUAUAUUUCUUUUUAUAUUGCAGAUUUAAAAUCUUGAGAGUAAUGUAGAUGUUUGGAAAGAAAUACCGUGAGAAAGGCUACAGUGACACAACAAUAAUUUGCGAAGGUAUGCACCUAUUGCUUAUAAAGAAUAAUAAGAGAAAAAAUAAUAAGUUGGAAUACGAGUAAAAAACAGGAUGCGUUCAAAUAAACAUGAUUUACAGGAUUACAAAAAUGUCCAUACUAGACAACUGUCACUUUUGUGCCAGUCAACAUCGGUGCUGUGCAGGCCUCUCAGCUGGUGCUCGUCAUAUUUGUGUUUUUCGUCUUUGUUUAAUUUGCGGCCUAAAUUUUGCUUGGAUAUGAAAAGCCACCAACUAGCUCACACCAAGAUUCUGCCCCUAAGUCACUCCUUGGUCGAAUUCACAGCGAACUGUUUACUUCAUCAUUUCUAGGGCCGACAUUGAAGUACAGCACAAGUCAGUGUGUUGGUAUACCGAUGAGUCACUGUGCUAUAACAAUUUAAUGCUAUAUUCCUGGUACUUGUUUGUAUUCCAGCUUCCUGUAUGUUGAAAUCGGUCACCAUGGAAGCGAGUCAGAUGGUGGGAUCUUUAGCAGGAGCAACCUGCAAGCAAAAAUUAUUGAGGACAGCCUUGGAGUUCCUGCGCCUGCCAGUUCUUAAGACGAUAGGCAGCUUGGUGAUGAGGCUUUCCCUCUAAAGACUUGCAUGAUGAGGCAGUAUUCCAGAAAUGGUGAGCAGUGAUAUCACCACAAUCGUUGCACAUUCUGUAGUAAUGACUAGCAUUUUCUCAUGUAACUAAUGGUUUUUGGUCCUUGCUAUGUUCAUCAUUUGCACUACAGAUUAUAAAAUGUUGUCUUUGCAGUUUUAUGCUUGCAUGUCUGCAUUUAGCAAACGUAUUCAAGUUUGGUAGAAUAUAUAGACUUGUAGUGACACUUUCGCUGUGUAGGUGCACUGAUCAUAAAAAUGACAUCCUGAAAAGUCUUAGGCAACACAUAGCAUUUAAUACAAUCUUAUUAAAGCAUUGCAAUAAAAGUGCAAGCCAGAAUAUAACUCCAAUCUUGUCAUCUCUGUGAGUCUGCUAUAUUUUAAAACACCCAUUGUUUUUACAGGUCUUCACCCUGUUCUCUCGGAGAGCUCAUCGAUAGCAACAACACAAGCUUGUAGUGCAGAGAGCAGCAUCACCACACAAUUUGAAGAACUACAGCAAAGGAGAAUAUUUAAUUACCGAUUGAGCAGGGCUCGCAGAGUUUUCGAAAAUUCUUUAGGAAUUCUGGCGCAGAGAUGGCAGAUCCUUCGACGGCCUUUCAAAGUGAAGGAAGAGAACAUCAGAAGGAUAGUAUCUGCAUGUGUCGUGCUACACAACUUUCUUUUGAUAGAAUCACCUGAAUCAAAGGCCACAUACUGUCCUCCGGGCACCGCCGACACCGAGGACUGGCAAGGAAACUUGACUGAUGGAAACUGGAGGGCCGAAGGCACAAACGGUAGAGCACUGGUCACUUUCAAUGGUGUGGGUUUCCACUCAGCCAGGUAAUGUUGGAAGAGCUACGGAAGUACUGUUUCCAUGCACGCACAAGUUGCAGUCACAUAGUUAAAGCUAACAGCUUUUGCCUAGCUUGCGACGAUUUCAUGUCAGUCGGUGUGCCAGUACUUUGGCGCAUCGGUGUGCACUAACACACACACAUAUCUGUGUAUUAGCACUGGUAUUUGUUACCAUUGCAUGUUUUCCACCAGUAUACUGCGAGGGAACACCUAUGUUCCACUUAAACAAGAUAUCACAACGUAAAACCAGUACAUGCAGUAUUGCCUCGUAUGCAUCUGCAAUGAACACAGGGCUUUCAUUGGAAUAGUGCCUGUAUAGAUAUCCCCUACAGACUUGAAUUUAACACUGUCACUGCUGUGUUGAGCACAUGAACGGAGCGCAUCUAUGUUCUGCAUUUUCAAACAAGGUAAUUCCUACAGGUAAUCAAAGGCAAGAUGUCAUAGGUAUCGCAAUGCACUGAACUUUUGAUUGUAUAGUACAUAAUUUCAAUGAAAUCAGCAGUUUGCUAACAUUUCUUACAUCAGCAGCACCAAUUCUUGUGGCACUGCCACACAAGCGUUAUAAAAUUUAAAUAAUUUUUCAUGUGUUUACACCUGUCUGUUCUUGUGGCUCUCCUCUCCAUCCUUGCCUCAUCGUCCAUUAUAAAGCGCCUCACAUUGUGCAUCUGCCUCAACUCCUCUUUGCAUUUAUAUCCAAAUUGCGCAGUGCACUAACCCUGCACAUAAUGAUGGCAGUCAUAAAUGUGAUGUGAUAACAAUGCCCAAGGAACCUAUGUUGUGAACGAACAUUGCAUGAGGUUACACAUUGCAUUGGACAAAAAUUAGCCAGUUUACAUAGAAUUAUGUGUGUCACGAAUGCUUUGCUUCAUGAUUACGAUGUGUAUGAUGGUUCUGCAGAUGUUCUUGCUGUAUUACACAGUAUUUCAGAUAACUUAAGGAAACAAACUAUGUUUAAGGAAAUUAUGUUUUGUAAAUAAUGUGCUCUAAUGGAAAUACUUGGAUUUACACGGUUGCUUAUGCCAUGCGCGACAAACUGUGCAAAUAUUUCAUAACAGAGGGAAGGGUACCAUGGCAGGAGAGCCACGUAAGAGACUACAGAUGGUAACCAGCCAAGUAAGUUCGCACUUUACACAGUUUUACAGCGUAAAAACAUCAGUGAAACAAUACAACAAGAAUAAAUGGAAGCGGUAUAUCAUGAAUUAACUACUUACUUACUUAUCAUUUGCAUUUUUAUUGGCCUUGUUUCAUAAGUGCGCACAGAUGGGAAUGCAGGUCUGCAUUAUAUCCAGCUAUCCAAUACAUUUAAUGAGUUUAUCCUACCCAUUCCUCCUAAAAAAUUCCCCAAAGGAACACGCUGGCUACAAAGAAUAUAAACAACACCGAAAACUAACCAUCCAAACUCAUUUUCACAAACAUGAAUUUUCUACAAUGAAAUUACUUAGCACAUGAUCAUGCUUCAGUAAAGACCUUGAAUUGACCUUGACAACUCUAUGCAAUUUUUUGUAUAUAGUAAUCUCACCAUCUAACCAAUUUAAUCUUUGUGUUCCUUUACGUCUAAAAUUUUAAUGUAGACCAAGUUGUGUUGGAGCACUGGAAAUAUUACAGCAAUAAAUAAAAUACAAGAAACAGUACAAUACUAACUAACUACAAUCUAUUCAUUUGCAUUUCCUCUUUGUCUGACCUUUUUGAUUUUAUCAUACACUAAGUUGUGCACAGAAUGCGUAAUGUCAAAUUGGUCAUCCACGGGCAAAGUACGUAGCAUAGCAACCAUCGUAUGUGCAAAAUGGUGCAGUACAUCUUUCUGCCACUCCCUUUGUUCCCGUUGUGCCUUUAUGUGGCUCAGACAUUCAGCUGCCACAGCCAUGGUUCCAGAGUCAUAGUCACAGGGACUGCAAGUGGCCAUAUAUACAUUUUCAUAAUGCCCUGCACAGAAAUAGUUCACAACUUACGUCUUCUGGCUUCUUCAGGUUCUUCGACAUUUUCGUGACCUUGAUGCACUGUGGAAAGAUUAAAAUUAUUGUAUAUACCUCCAACGAUUUGAACUCGCCACAUUCCACAGCGACUUCCUUGCCUUCUAUUUGGCACCCCCACUUCUGGUUCCUGUGGAUCUGUCUGUUGUGGCCUGCAGGAAUGAUAGCACAAAGUUAUGCACUGGGUAGCACAUUACAAAGCUUGUUUUCCAUAAGUGAACACGCAAUAAAAUGUGAUAUUACGUCACAGAGGUGUCACUACUGGGAGUUCUAUGAGAACUUCCGGCCGCCAAGGAGCUGCUGCCUGCCUCAAAAUCCAACUACCCGACCUCAUGGAUGUCAUUGAAUGAAGGUUCAAGUUGAGAGUCAUCUUGGCUUGAACAGGCACUUUCGGCGGACAUGUCUGAUCUGCAUCAAGCAUAAAUAAAACAUUUGCUGCAGUUCCGCAUCCUGUGCUCUCAUGACGCUGGCCAGAUGUUUGUUGAUUUUUAAUAAACAUUCGAGGCACAUUCAAUCUAUCAAAGUCACUGCAGUAUAGUAGAAAACGACAUCACAUAUUACUAUUGCGUUAUGUUUGCAAUGAGUUUUAUGAAAAUAACACCAAGUGGAAUAAUAUUACCAUGCAAAAAAUUUAUAUAAUCACAUGCAACAGUGAAGUUGCAGAACAAAGUCAAUUUCUGAUUGAGAUAUUGUCUCCUAAACCUACCCUCCUGUCUGCUUGAAGACAGUAUUGCUGCAAAUACUGUAAAAGUAGUUUGUAUUGACAAGAAAUGAGCAUACUCUUCAACACAAAUAAAGACGUGCUUUAAAAAGCAAGAGUCACAAGCACUUGUGGUAUAAUUAUGUUGUACAUUGCAAAUUAAACCGACAAUAAAGUAGCACCAUAAUACUGUAGAAACGGGAAUCAGUGUAACUGGUUACAUCACUUACAUGGGCUCCUCAUACACUUUCUCCAUGAUUGGAAUCAUUGCCUCGAAGUGCCUCCAUUUAAUUGUGGGCACAUCUUUGGCUCCGGCCGCACUUUUCGUCUUAUCCCUUAUUUUAGUUUUAAUUUUUGUGAAAUUGACCUUCAGAUUUUUUUAUUUGGCUUGGCAAAUUGCAUCUGCAAAGCAAGAACAAAAACAUUCAAAUGCUGUACACUUGUGUAUCUGCAUGGUAAAAGCGAUACAUCGCAUGUUUCUUUGCAGCAGCAUGCCGACUAGUCUAGUGCAGUGAUUUUUACAUAUUUCAUUUGUAAUUUGUCAAGCAAACUCAACAAAAAUAAAUGCAGGCACGCUGUAUAGCGUCUGCAGUGAAAUAUGAAAUGAAAGAAAACGACGGAGCUUCUACGUAUCCGUUUUCGCAUCCGUGAUGCUUGAUUAAUUUUCAGGCGUAGCUUCAAACUCCAGUGCACUUUAGCAUACGUCUCUCUUGAGUUCCAAUGACAGAUCCAGAUCAAAUUUUUCUGCUCUGUAUGGAGCAGUCCUAUUCCAAAGGCAGAAUCGGAGCUUGAUUUGUGUGUUCCAGUGACAGAUUGGGACCAGCCGCUGAUCCCGGAUCGCACCGUGGAGCAAAAAUAUUUGCUCCGCCGAAAUCGGCAGAUUUGACCGGAAGUCCUUGUGACGUAUUUCCUUCACCCGCCUCUGCUUCCUGUCACGGUCGCCUGUCUUCGGUUGCGGGCAGUUAUGGACGACAUGGGCAGCGUGGACGCUGCUUCGCACCAUGCGCUUUUGUUCGUGCUCUUAGACAGCUCCGACUCGGACAGUACAAUUUCCAAGUCGAGUGAUGAUUCUUCCCGCACGGACAGUGAGUGUGACGCUGUUGUGUGCCAAUGGGCAUUUGAUGUGAUGUUCCGCCUGUCUGCAAAGAGGCCUGAAGUGAUUGGCUUCGUCGAGGACAUUGUUCGGCGAUACUUGGACGACGAGGUACCGUACAGCUCAAGGUGGUACUAGUGUGAACAAAAAAUGCCUUUUUCUGCAAUGCUAUUUUUUUUCCAAGUUCGGCAGGCACUUCCAUCUGUCGCAACCUGUAGCGGAGCAACUGAUUGAAAGAUUUGCUGCUUCGCCGGCGUGCUCGUCAAGCAGCCAUGGCGGAGUGCCUGCAAAAUCUGGAGAAACUCAUGUGCUGACUUUCAUAUGGUGUCUGGAAUCUAUGGUGUUGUUAGCUGCCUAGACGGCUCCUAUAUCAAAAUACAAUGCCUAGACAACAAGGUCUCUUCCACCUACUGCAACCGGCACCAUUACCUCUCAUUAACCCUUCAAGCAGUUUGUGACCACAAAAGACGAUUCGUUGACACCUGCAUUGGAAGCUCCAGCAAAAUUCACGAUUCUCGAAUCUUCAAGCUAUCAUCACUUUCAAAGAAACUUCCCAAACUAUGCGAGGACAAUGUGUACCACCUGCUUGGAGAUGCAGCCUAUCCCUUCAGGCAGUACCUUCUGACUCAUUUCAGAGACUAUGGAGUUUUGUCAAAGGCGCACAUGGAUUUCAGCAACGAGGGUGCUAAUAGAAAACAGUUUUAGCAACCUAAAGAAAAGGUUCCAUCAACUAAUCUACCUUGAGCUGCGCACUGUAGAGUCUCUGAACAAAUUUAUUAUUGCUUGUUGCAUAGUGCAUAAUUUAUGCAUUGAGUGCGGAGAUUUGGAGCCAGGUGAACCAGGUGAUGAUGUAUCACCUCAAGAUGUCCAGUGGCAUCCACAUUCAUGCACUGAUGACCUGGAUGAGACUGCCGAAGAAACUUUGUUGCGCAGACUGGGAGAAAUAACAAGGAGCAAGGAGCUGGAAGCAGUGCUGCAAAAGUAGUGGUGUGCAACAACUAAUGAACUCAUCAAAAUGACAGGUGUGUAAGGAGUGUAAUAAAUUGCUACAUUUGUUGUAA